rnacentral:rRNA from 1 species
UACGGAGGAUGCAAGCGUUAUCCGGAUUGAUUGGGCGUAAAGCGUCUGUAGGUGGUUACGCUAGUCGGCUGUUAAAGAUCAGGGCUGAACCUGAGCAAGCAGUCGAAACUGCGUGGCUGGAGUACGGUAGGGGCAGAGGGAAUUUCCGGUGGAGCGGUGAAAUGCGUAGAGAUCGGAAAGAACACCAACGGCGAAAGCACUCUGCUGGGCCGACACUGACACUGAGAGACGAAAGCUAGGGGAGCGAACGGG